rnacentral:rRNA from 1 species
AGCAGCCGCGGUAAUUCCAGCUCCAAUAGCGUAUAUUAAAGUUGUUGCAGUUAAAAAGCUCGUAGUUGAAUUUCGGGAUCAGUUGGUCGGUCGUGCCUCGGUACGUACUGGUCAAAUUGAUUCCUACCUUCUGACGAACCACGAUGUCAUUAAUUUGGUGUCGCGGGAAAUCAGGACUGUUACUUUGAAAAAAUUAGAGUGUUUAAAGCAGGCUCGCGCUUGAAUACAUUAGCAUGGAAUAAUGAAAUAGGACGUUUGAUUCUAUUUUGUUGGUUUCUAGGAUCGACGUAAUGAUUAAUAGGGAUAGUUGGGGGCAUUAGUAUUCAAUUGUCAGAGGUGAAAUUCUUGGAUUUAUUGAAGACUAACUACUGCGAAAGCAUUUGCCAAGGAUGUUUUCAUUAAUCAAGAACGAAAGUUAGGGGAUCGAAGACGAUCAGAUACCGUCGUAGU